rnacentral:rRNA from 1 species
CUCGUAGGCGGUUUGUCGCGUCGGAAGUGAAAACACGGGGCUUAACUCUGUGCUUGCUUUCGAUACGGGCAGACUAGAGGGAUGCAGGGGAGAACGGAAUUCCUGGUGUAGCGGUGAAAUGCGCAGAUAUCAGGAGGAACACCGGUGGCGAAGGCGGUUCUCUGGGCAUUCCCUGACGCUGAGGAGCGAAAGUGCGGGGAGCGAACA